UCUCAAUUUAUUUGUCAUUAAGGUCUUACCCAGAUGAAAUAAAAUGACAAGACCAGAUGGACUCCUGACGAGUGUCUGGAUGUUCAACAUCAAUCACUUUUACACCAACAAAACAUCCUAUUACACAGGGUACUGCAUUGCUUCAGAUAUUCUAACUUUUUGACCAGCGACUUUGGUAUCGGAUCCAUACAUUACACUUUUUCCUGCGGGAAAAAAAAAAAAAUUGUACAACUGCAUAAAUAUAAAACUCUUCCACCAUGAAAAUGACUAAAACAUUCAUUAGAAAGUUACACCACGUCAUGUGAUGUCUCCAGCAACAACAACAAAAAAAAAUGGUUCGUUUUAAAAGCACAGAGUCGCUGUCAGUGUUUCCAUGAAGGAGGAAGGAAGCUAGUCUCCCUGCCUGCUGCUAGAUACACAGAACACUGCUAGCUCUAGACUACAAUAGAGAGGAGGAGGAGAAGCAUUGGACAUAGAGAGAGGAGGAGGAGGAGAAGCAUUGGACAUAUAGAGGAGGAGGAGGAGAAGCAUUGAACAUAGAGAGAGGAGGAGGAGGAGGUGAAGCAUUGGACAUAGAGAGGAGGAGGAGAAGCAUUGGACAUAGAGAGAGGAGGAGGUGAAGCAUUGGACAUAUAGAGGAGGAGGAGGUGAAGCAUUGGAGGAGGAGAAGCAUUGGACAGAGAGGAGGAGGAGAAGUAUUGGACAUAGAGGAGGAGGAGAAGCAUUGGACAUAGAGAGGAGGAGGAGGAGGUGAAGCAUUGGACAUAGAGGAGGAGGAGAAGCAUUGGACAUAGAGAGAGGAGGAGGAGAAGCAUUGGACAUAUAGAGAGGAGGAGAAGCAUUGGACAUAGAGAGAGGAGGAGGUGAAACAUUGGACAUAGAGAGGAGGAGGAGAAGCAUUGGACAUAUAGAGGAGGAGGAGGUGAAGCAUUGGACAUAGAGAGGAGGAGGAGAAGCAUUGGACAUAUAGAGGAGGAGGAGAAGCAUUGGACAUAUAGAGGAGGAGGAGGAGGAGAAGCAUUGGACAUAGAGAGGAGGAGGAGGAGAAGCAUUGGACAUAUAGAGGAGGAGGAGGCGAAGCAUUGGACAUAGAGAGAGGAGGAGAAGCAUUGGACAUAGAGAGAGGAGGAGAAGUAUUGGACAUAUAGAGGAGGAGGAGGAGGAGAAGCAUUGGACAUAUAGAGAGGAGGAGAAGCAUUGGACAUAGAGAGAGGAGGAGGUGAAGCAUCAAACAAGACAUUUCAUUAAACCCUCUGUCCCAUAUUAAAGUUGAUCCAAAAAGAAAAAAAUAAAGUAAUGUAGAAAUAUUCUCCCACAAUCAACUCAAAAAGACACAGGAAAAAGCAUUCCAGGGAGUGCAGCCAUUUACUGACAGACUUACAGAUCAGAGCGUACCAUGCCAGUAUUUUCAGUUAGUAAGAGUAUAUUAACACAUCCACACACUCACAUUAACACACACACACACACACACCCCUUGGACCACUAAAGCUUACUGACAUAAGACAACAGAAAUUACAACAUGGCUUGGAAAGGACCACUGUAUGUCACUACUGCACUGGAUACUCCAAACGUACAUAGAAAGCACAUUAGGCAGAAUACUUAGGGGACAGACAGAAACACUGCUCGCUACAUAUCAGUAGUGGAAUUGCAAUUUACAGUAAGAGAUGAACAUGUCCCAUGGCUCAAGGACUUCUCAUUUACAGUAGAAUAAAUAUGUUGCAAUUGCUACUCUUCCUGUAAUGUACAUUCUAAACCCUAGACAUUAUGCAGGAAGCCAGUGUAGUGUACAUUCUAAACCCUAGACAUUAUGCAGGAAGCCAGUGUAGUGUACAUUCUAAACCCUAGACAUUAUGCAGGAAGCCAGUGUAGUGUACAUUCUAAACCCUAGACAUUAUGCAGGAAGCCAGUGUAAUGUACACAGAUUAACUGUAGGUCCCCGUAUAUUAUGAAAGUUUGUUCCAAGACUAGUCGUGUUUUUUUUAAUAUAACUUUUUUUUUUUUUUCUUCUCUCUAAAUCAUCUUGUUUUGAAAUGUGGGAAGAUAACAGUGUGUUUUUUUUCAUAGCUGAGGUCAUGAAUUGGCGAUAGUGAACUUAACGUCAAAGCGUCCUUGGUAGCGAUCUUUCUCGCUGUAGUCAAUGUUCGCUCCGUACACUUUGCACUCGAGACGCAGCUCCUCGUUGAAGGUGAGGUUGGUAAACUGGAUGGCCACCAGAGGUUGCAGGUAGUUUGGAUGCAGCAGCUUGCCGUAGUAAGGGUAGUACUGGAGGGGGAACCCCAUUCCCAUGCCAUAGUACUUGAUCUCACCAAUCUUGCUGGCAUCCUCCUCUCUCUGUAGAGAAUGACAUCACAGUUAAGUAGGCUGCCAUUACAGAACAAG
rnacentral:lncRNA from 1 species